CUUCCAAUGCUGGAGCAGAUCCAGCUAUUGCCAUGCUGCAGGAGCUGCAAGUGCUGUGCAUUUCUUCUCACACCAAACACCUCAGAUGCUUCAAAUUCCCAGCAUUCCAGGCCCUGGAAAUGCUGUCUCCUGCAGUUUUCCAUAUCAACAUCAUCCCCAAUUUCAGACCAAUUUGGCUGAAGGAGUGUGUUUGACAGGGAGGUGCAGCUGUAAUCUCUCAGGCCUGGCCGGGGAUGCCAAAUAAAUCUAUAUCUCCCUGACAA